GGCUGUAGGCCUGAGUCUAAGCAACUCCAUUUUAAAAACUCACCAGGAACAUCCACAGAGCCCUCCAGUAUGGCCUCCAACAAGUUACUUCUCCUCACCCUGUUAAAGAGAGUGAAGCUCCUGACAGGCUGUCCUUGCCUAAUAAGAGGAAAAAGCGAGAAGAUCAAGGGUGGAGACCAUCAGACCAGAUGUUUCUGACCUCAAGGUAAAUAAUGUCAUGGAGAAAUUCGGUGGUAGCUGAUAAGGAUUGAAAGGGGGGUCAAAAAAGCCCCCAAAUUUAGUAUAAAUAAUAGACCUGAUGAACAGGGAUUCAGCCAGCAGAAACAAGGAUGCACUUGAGCUGGAGAGCCUGAUGAGGACCUGGACUGACAUCCUAUCAUUUGUCAUCAUUUCCUGAUCCUCUGCAUGAUCCUCACUGCUCUCAAACUCUACUGGCUCAUCUGGACCUUGAUGAGAGCCAUAACNAUAUAUAUAUUUUUUUUUUUUUUCAAUAUGCUACCACAGUAAAAUAACAUUUCUUUUUAUUAUAUCUUACAACUUCCUAUCAUUCCACAGAUAUCUCAAAACAAAGAACUUAAUUUUUAAAAAUUGUAUGGCUUUUUUCCCCUUCUGUUAAUUUUUUCUUUGGGAAUUAUUAUUAAUUUUAGAUCACCAUCUGUCUUAAUAUGCUCUUUGUUUUAUUAUUUAAUAUAUUUAUACAUAUUUUAAAGAAUAAAACUUUAUCUUCUUUUCACUUCUCUAGUGAUAAAUUAUCUAUUCACUACCACCAAAAUUUAAAUAUAUUCAGUCACUUAUAGCUAACCUUUAUUUAUUUUUGUAAGUUCUUUUUCUCUGUAUUGUGUAUUAUUUUCACGUAGGCAAUGAACAUUUAAUGUUCAUCAAAGUAAUGCCAUGAAGUGAACUUUAAAGUGUAUAAAUAUUUACUUCAACCAGAAAGAGGAAAGUCAGGCUCUCCAUUCCUGACUUGGAGUGAAGUAGAACUUUAGAUAGGUUUUUUAGAUAACCAGGUUUUUAUUUCUGUAUUACAGACACUUUUAGUUUUAAAUUCCUAGUGUCUCUACAUUUAAUUUUCAUAUCCCCUUUGGCCCCUCUUGGCUGAACUUUAGGUAUUGAGAGAAUUAAUAUUUGCGCUAGCCUUCAUGGGGAAAAGCUGACAACAAGAGGAUUACAGGAGGAUUUAUUUUUUUAUGGGUGCCCUUCAUGUCCAUUAGGUCAUCUAACACAAAAUAAAAUUGGAGAAAAGAGAACAGAUUUUGAUUUAAUCCAGAUGGCAAUUCGUAAGGAUUGGUAGGUUAGAAGGAAAAAAAGCUAUGAUACAAUUGAAAAUUCAAGUGAAGAUAUUUUAGAAAUAGUUUAAACACAAAGUAAUCUAGCAAAUGUGGCCAAGAAGUCCUAUAAAUAGAAGAAUCCAAAAAAAAAAAAAAAAAAAUUGUGAAAAGCCAGCUUGGAAAUGGAGAAGUGGAAAGCAUGGGGGAGAGAAAAAGAAGAAAAAUCAAAGAACAGAAUUUCUGGAUUUUUUUUUUUUUUUGGGGGGAGGAUACCAGGGAAUUAAACUCAGGAGCACUCAACCACUGAACCACUUCCCCAUCCCCAGCACUAUUUUUGUAUUUUAUUUAGAGAUAGGGUGUGAGGAUGGCUGUAGGCCUGAGUCUAAGCAACUCCAUUUUAAAAACUCACCAGGAACAUCCACAGAGCCCUCCAGUAUGGCCUCCAACAAGUUACUUCUCCUCACCCUGUUAAAGAGAGUGAAGCUCCUGACAGGCUGUCCUUGCCUAAUAAGAGGAAAAAGCGAGAAGAUCAAGGGUGGAGACCAUCAGACCAGAUGUUUCUGACCUCAAGGUAAAUAAUGUCAUGGAGAAAUUCGGUGGUAGCUGAUAAGGAUUGAAAGGGGGGUCAAAAAAGCCCCCAAAUUUAGUAUAAAUAAUAGACCUGAUGAACAGGGAUUCAGCCAGCAGAAACAAGGAUGCACUUGAGCUGGAGAGCCUGAUGAGGACCUGGACUGACAUCCUAUCAUUUGUCAUCAUUUCCUGAUCCUCUGCAUGAUCCUCACUGCUCUCAAACUCUACUGGCUCAUCUGGACCUUGAUGAGAGCCAUAACUUCUCCCAAUGACCCUCUUCUCAACCAGUCAUCCACUCCAUGAAAGGAGAAGCCUGCCUUGGUUCAGGACCUGAUCACCAUGGUCUGGGUGAGUGUGCAUCUACUGGACAUAAAGCCUAAGGAUUAAGACUUUUGAACUUAGCACACAGAGGGAAUGUCUGCCAUUAGCCUGUCAUGAUUAAGUGUGUUUGCAGUGCUUAGAAUUAAUCUAGAAUUGUUUGCUGUGAAUUGAUUAUGUCUAUUGCAAUGCCUAGCAUUAAAGGAUUGUCAUUUUCUUGAUUAAGAACCGAUAGAGUAAAAUUGUAUUGAGUAAUUUGAGUGAAUAAAGUAUUGAAAGGAG
rnacentral:lncRNA from 1 species